rnacentral:rRNA from 1 species
UCAGUCAGCGCAGCGUAAUAACAGAAACUAACCAGGAUUCCCUUAGUAACGGCGAGUGAACUGGGAUACCAAUAUAUUUAUGCGUCUCUGGCGCAUAUUUUUAGCCCGUCGAUACUAUCCUAGCGUAUUACCGGUUUCGGCCGGUAGCCCAAUACGCGGGAAUUGUAGCAUCGUAAUAAAAUAUACACCAUGCUUGCGUCGCAAACGUAUAUACACGUAUAUACUCACACACACACACAUACUCGUACGCGUACACACCCCUUGCAAACACACAGCGCUCCCGCGUUGGAAAGCAAGUCUAUAUCCUCUUUGGAUAUGCCUUAGAGUGUGACAGCCACGUUUGAAACACCCUUACAUACCGUACACACACACAUACGUAAAAAUACGCGCUGCUUCGCAUACGCAUACCGUAUAUAACCUGAGUCGAGUUAUUUGGGACUAUAGCUCUAAUAGUUUGGUUGGUGGUAGUGACACAUCAAAGGCUAAAUAUUGGUUAGUCGAUGCAUUUUGCGGAGACCGAUAGCAUACAAGUACCGUAAGGGAACGAUGAAAAGCACCCUAUUAAGUUCACGGCGUCGGCCGCGUACAAUUCGUUGUACAACGCCGCGCCCAACAACUACAGUGGGGAGUGAAAGAGAGAGUAAU